rnacentral:miRNA from 1 species
UGAAGUAGAGUAGAUUUGUAGGAUC